rnacentral:rRNA from 1 species
GAAAACUUUGCAAUGUGCGAAAGCACGACAAGGUUAAUCCGAGUGAUUUCUGCUAAAGGAAUCUUUUGUUAGUCGUAGAACCACUAGUGAAUAAGGGGUGGGCAAGUUCUGGUGUCAGCCGCCGCGGUAAAACCAGCACCUCAAGUGGUCAGGAGGAUUAUUGGGCCUAAAGCAUCCGUAGCCGGCUAGGUAAGUUUUCUGUUAAAUCCAUGCGCUUAACGUAUGGGCUGCAGGGAAUACUGCCUAGCUAGGGAGUGGGAGAGGUAGACGGUACUCCGUAGGAAGGGGUAAAAUCCUUUGAUCUAUGGAUGACCACCUGUGGCGAAGGCGGUCUACUAGAACACGUCCGACGGUGAGGGAUGAAAGCUGGGGGAGCAAACCGG